AGUAUUGAAUGUUCCUAGCCAGACACGCACCCCUUUCCUGGGGUCACGAAUCUCAGCAGCCCAUUUUCCCCAUGGGCGCUGCCGGAUUCCUCUGUACUGGUUUUUUCUCUUUCUCUUUGCAGAUUUUUCAGCUAGCCCAUUAAAUUCCACAGACUUUACAGCUGUAGAACCUUCAAAAAAAAAAAAGAAAAGAAAAGCAAAACAUAUCACAUACAAGCAUCAAAAGAGAAAUAAUGCCUAGCAUUAAAGUCCUAUAGUAUUGUAAAAUAAAAUAUAUUGAAAAAAAAAAACAUUUAAGGCAAAUCCUAUCAUCAAAGUCCAAACUAAACCCUCCACCAGGACCCAACUUCUUUCCUAAAACAUCUUCGAUCCACAGAGAUGAAACAAUCAACCGGUUAAAAAGUAACAUUCUUUUGUAUCAACCAGGCAUGUUUUGAGAUUUAAUGCAAUUCAAAGGCACAAUGGAUUCUGUAGUUGACACAUUAGUCUGACAAGAUAUCAACCUUCUCUCACCAAUUUUUUUUCUGAACUUGAGUAAAAAAAGGAAAUUUGAUCUCAUUUGAUCACUAGAAACGUUUCACAUAUUUAUUAUUCUGGUGCAAGGGCAAAUCUAGAGCCAGCAAAGCAUUUCCACUGCUAAUGAUUUGAAGCUUAGAUAAUUAAUAAAUAUUACAAAUACACAUGUACACCCAACUCCAUCUUGUAUCAUUUUCCAAAUAAGCUUAAGAAAAUAAACAGAGAUUAAAGGGCAAAAUGAUAAAUACAGUUUCAGAAAAAAGGAAAAAAGAGACGCCCAUUUGCAAAACAGAAAUAAAUAUAAUAACUGAAAAAUAAUAAUGGACAAAUUAAUAAAUAAUACUUUUUGUACAUCUUUCCUAUAAUUUUUAUACAUCUUUCUUUAAUUUAAGAUGAGUAUAACCCGAAAAUUAAUAAAAGAAAUUAUAUUUCUUAAUACAAAAAUUAUAAUUUAAGAUGAGUAUAACCCUAAAAUUAAUAAAAGAAAUUACAUUUCUUAAUACAAAAAUUAUGAAACGGGUGAGUACCUUAAUUAAAGUUAUCAUCAUUUUUUUCUAAAUCCCAGAUUUAAAACCUGAAGCCUGACAUAGCAGCAGCCAUCACUUUAUAUAUACCAGAAUCAAAAUAAAAUAUCAUAAAGAUGAUAUAAGAACUCAUAAACCCAAAAAAAAUUUCUAUGAUGCUCUCAAUCCCAUAGAAAACAAAGACACCACAUGAAUUUUUUUCCUCUUUUUUGGUUCCACAAAAUAAUCAUUAAAGUAAAUCACAAGAGGCAACAUAGACAUCUCCAAGUAACAGAAAAUAACCCCUAUCAUGCGCUUCAAGUCCUUCGAACACUGAUACAAAGUAUAGAAAGAGUAACAAAUUUUUCACAAAAAUAGAUAUUAAGAGGGAAAAUUAACAUAAAAGUUAUAAAAUCAACAUACUUGCAUCAAAGACAAAACAAAGAAUCACUCCAAAGAAGAAAAGAAAUCCACUAGAACUAAAUAAAACAAAUUGACCAAAUAAAAACUAAACAAGGAUCAGCUGCAGCGUAGGAACAAAAAGACUAUGACAAAAGCAAAAUUGAAUUAAAAACCUACAAUAAAAAUAUUAUAGAGCAUGUUCAAAGGAGGUGAAUGAUAAAAUCAUUACCACGUGAAGGACUGCGAUUGCGAGGAGGAGGAGAAGCAGUAGCAGAGAAAGAGAAAGGCUUGACAUCAAACAAAACGUCAUCUUCCUCAUCGACAUCAGACUCAUCCUUAAACUCCUGGAAAUCAGCCUCGAAAUCAUCGUCAAGGUCACCAACGAU
rnacentral:lncRNA from 1 species